rnacentral:rRNA from 2 species
AGAGUCUGAUGGAGCACGCCGCGUGAGUGAAGAAGGGUUUCGGCUCGUAAAACUCUGUUGUUAGAGAAGAACAGCCGUGAGAGCAACUGCUCACGGUAUGACGGUAUCUAACCAGAAAGUCACGGCUAACUACGUGCCAGCAGCCGCGGUAAUACGUAGGUGGCAAACGUUGUCCGGAUUUAUUGGGCGUAAAGGGAGCGCAGGCGGUUUAUUAAGUCUGAUGUGAAAGCCUUCGGCUUAACCGGAGAAGUGCAUCGGAAACUGAUAAACUUGAGUGCAGAAAAGGAUAGUGGAACUUCAUGUGUAGCGGUGAAAUGCGUAGAUAUAUGAAGGAACACCAGUGGCGAAGGCGGCUAUCUGGUCUGUAACUGACGCUGAGGCUCGAAAGCAUGGGUAGCAAACAGGAUUAGAUACCCUGGUAGUCCAUGCCGUAAACGAUGAAUGCUAGGUGUUGGAAGGUUUCCGCCUUUCAGUGCCGCAGCUAACGCAUUAAGCAUUCCGCCUGGGGAGUACGACCGCAAGGUUGAAACUCAAAGGAAUUGACGGGGACCCGCACAAGCGGUGGAGCAUGUGGUUUAAUUCGAUGCUACGCGAAGAACCUUACCAGGACUUGACAUCUUCUGCCAAUCUAAGAGAUUAGACGUUCCCUUCGGGGACAGAAUGACAGGUGGUGCAUGGUUGUCGUCAGCUCGUGUCGUGAGAUGUUGGGUUAAGUCCCGCAACGAGCGCAACCCUUGUCUUUAGUUGCCAGCAUUAAGUUGGGCACUCUAGAGAGACUGCCGGUGAUAAACCGGAGGAAGGUGGGGAUGACGUCAAAUCAUCAUGCCCCUUAUGUCCUGGGCUACACACGUGCUACAAUGGGCGAUACAACGAGUUGCGAAACCGCGAGGUCAAGCUAAUCUCUUAAAGUCGUUCUCAGUUCGGAUUGCAG